ACGGAGGGUGCGAGCGUUAAUCGGAAUUACUGGGCGUAAAGCGUACGUAGGUGGAUUGGUAAGUUGGAUGUGAAAGCCCUGGGCUUAACCUGGGAACUGCAUUCAAAACUGCAAGUCUAGAGUACAGGAGAGGGAAGUGGAAUUUCCGGUGUAGCAGUGAAAUGCGUAGAUAUCGGAAGGAACACCAGUGGCGAAGGCGACUUCCUGGACUGAUACUGACACUGAGGUACGAAAGCGUGGGGAGCAAACAGG
rnacentral:rRNA from 1 species